GUGGGGAAUAUUGGACAAUGGGCGCAAGCCUGAUCCAGCCAUGCCGCGUGAGUGAUGAAGGCCCUAGGGUUGUAAAGCUCUUUCACCGGUGAAGAUAAUGACGGUAACCGGAGAAGAAGCCCCGGCUAACUUCGUGCCAGCAGCCGCGGUAAUACGAAGGGGGCUAGCGUUGUUCGGAAUUACUGGGCGUAAAGCGCACGUAGGCGGGUAUUUAAGUCAGGGGUGAAAUCCCAGAGCUCAACUCUGGAACUGCCUUUGAUACUGGGUACCUAGAGUAUGGAAGAGGUAAGUGGAAUUCCGAGUGUAGAGGUGAAAUUCGUAGAUAUUCGGAGGAACACCAGUGGCGAAGGCGGCUUACUGGUCCAUUACUGACGCUGAGGUGCGAAAGCGUGGGGAGCAAACAGGAUUAGAAACCCGUGUAGUCC
rnacentral:rRNA from 1 species